rnacentral:rRNA from 1 species
GAUGAACGCUGGCGGCGUGCAUAACACAUUCAAGUCGAACGGUGAAGGGACUUCGGUCCCGGACCAGUGGCGGACGGGUGAGUAACACGUGGGUAACCUACCUACAAGCGGGGGAUAACAUUCGGAAACGGAUGCUAAUACCGCAUAGAUCUUUUUGUCUCCUGGCAGAAAGAAGAAAGACGGUUUCGGCUGUCACUUGUAGAUGGACCCGCGGCGCAUUAGUUAGUUGGUGAGGUAAUGGCUCACCAAGACGAUGAUGCGUAGCCGACCUGAGAGGGUGAUCGGCCACACUGGGACUGAGACACGGCCCAG